rnacentral:rRNA from 1 species
CUGCCCAAUGAGUAUUUGAAUGGCCGCGGUAUUUUGACCGUGCAAAGGUAGCAUAAUCAUUAGUUUUUUAAUUGAAAGCUGGAAUGAAGGGUUGGAUGAAAAAAUUACUGUCUCUGUUUAAAUUAUUUAGAAUUUUAUUUUUAAGUAAAAAAGCUUAAAUGAAAAUAGAAGACGAGAAGACCCUAUAGAGUUUUAUAGAUUUUAGUUUAAGAAAUUUUUAGAAUUAAAAAAUUUUUAUAUUAAAGUUUAUUUGGUUGGGGUGAUUAAAAAAUUGGAAAAACUUUUUUUAUUGUUAAACAUUUAUUUAUGAUUAAAUGAUCCUUAUAUAAAGAUUAAAAGAAAAAAUUACCUUAGGGAUAACAGCGUAAUUUUUUUAAAGAGUUCAAAUCGAAAAAAAAGAUUGCGACCUCGAUGUUGGAUUAAAAUGAAAUUUUGGUGUAGAAGCUAGAGUAUUUGGGUCUGUUCGACCCUUAAAAUUUUACAUGAUCUGAGUUUAAACCGGCGU